AGUGAACGCUGGCGGCGUGCCUAAUACAUGCAAGUCGAACGGAGUAGCGCACGGGUGAGUAAUGUAUAGCUAAACUGUCCUACACUAGAGGACAACAGUUGGAAACGACUGCUAAUACUCUAUAGUGUAGGAUGAGGCUAUAUUGUAUCAGCUAGUUGGUGAGGUAAUGGCUCACCAAGGCUAUGACGCAUAACUGGUCUGAGAGGAUGAUCAGUCAAACAGGAACUGAGACACGGUCCAGACUCCUGGGGGAGGGAGCAGUAGGGUAUAUUGCUCAAUGGGGGAAGCCCUGAAGCAGCUACGCCGCGUGGAGGAUGACACUUUUCGGAGCGUAAACUCCUUUUGUUAGGGACGCGGUACCUAACGAAUAAGCACCGGCUAACUCCGUGCCAGCAGCCGCGGUAAUAC
rnacentral:rRNA from 1 species